GCUGCUGUGGGCUGGGGCAGUUGAGGCUGAGCUGGAUCCGUUAAGGCUGAGCUGGGUCUGUUAAGGCUGACCUGCGGCAGUUGAGGCUGACCUGAGGUGGUUGAGGCUGACCUGAGAUGGUUGAGGCUGGGCUGAGGGGAGUUAAGGAUGAGCUGGGUCAGUUGAGGAAGUUGAGAAAAGGCAAAGGCAGAAAAGGAUGCUCUGAGGUGGAACUGAGGAAUCUGAGGCCUUAAAAUUUGUCUUCCCAGUCAGUGUGUGUGGCCUCCAGACCCUCCAGCAGGUGCCUCACCCCCCUGCCACCUCCUCACAGUUCCCUGGGUGGGAGACCCCCAAGGGAGACAAUCUUCAGCAGACAAUCCAUGGGAAGCUCUCCAUGGUGAGUAGCACUUUCUUCCAGAAAAGCCACUCCAAAGUGUCACACUACACCUGGUGCCACCAGGAAUCUGUCUGUGUGGCACAGGCAGUCAUCCUGGGAGUCCUGGGAAAGCAGCUCUACGCCUCUGUUCCUAUACCAGCAAUUGCUGAACGUCCCUGGAGAAGGAAAGCUCAGAGUUUCUGGUGCUGGGGAAGAAAUGCUUCAAGAAAAAGAAAAAUAAUCGCAGCUGCAAUGUUAAAAAUAAGAAGCUAA
rnacentral:lncRNA from 1 species